ACCCACCUGAUGAGUCCUAGAUAAGACGAAACGCACGUUCUGGAU
rnacentral:hammerhead_ribozyme from 1 species